rnacentral:misc_RNA from 1 species
UCUCACUCACAUUUUCUCUUCUAUUUUUUUCACAAUCCUCACCUCUCCCUCGUUUCCCCCCUUUUCUCUCUCAGUUUUUCGCUUUCAACUCGCUCACUCACUCUCUAACUCGAUUAGGGUUAGGGUUUUAUACAAUUUCCCCAAAUUAAUUUCUCUCCUGUUCUUUUCCCUCUUUGUAAUGCUUCUAAAUCCUCAGUUUUUCUCUCAGACUUGCCAAUGUACGGUCAUUCCCAUCCUAUGAACGUUCAUCAUCAGAUCACUGCCCCCACCGCCGAUGAAGAAGACGGUGUUGCUGCUGACUCUAUCGAUCAUCACCACAUUCGUUAUGAAGACGGCAACGCAACUGGUGUCGUUGUAGAGGAUGUCUCUCACGAUUCCGUCUAUGUUCCUAGCAGUGGCGCUGGCUCCGAGCUCGUUGUUCACAGAGGCGAUGUCUCCAGCCAACUCACAUUGACGUUUCGUGGUCAAGUUUAUGUGUUUGAUGCUGUUACUCCUGAUAAGGUUCAAGCGGUGUUAUUACUAUUGGGAGGAUGUGAACUAACUUCUGGUCUGCAUGGUCUGGAAGUAGCAUCUCAAAACCAAAGGGGUGCAGUGGUGGACUUUCCAGGACGUUGUACUCAACCCCAGAGAGCUGCCUCAUUACAUAGGUUCAGGCAGAAGAGGAAAGAGCGUUGCUUUGAUAAGAAAGUUAGAUAUAGCGUUCGUCAAGAGGUUGCACUCAGGAUGCAGCGCAAUAAGGGUCAGUUUACUUCUUCCAAAAAGUCAGAUGGACCAUGUGGUUGGGGUGGUGGUCAGGAUUCAGGACAAGAUGACA